rnacentral:rRNA from 1 species
GAUGAACGCUGGCGGCGUGCUUAACACAUGCAAGUCGAACGGUGAAGCAGAGCUUGCUCUGUGGAUCAGUGGCGAACGGGUGAGUAACACGUGAGCAAUCUGCCCCUGACUCUGGGAUAAGCGCUGGAAACGGCGUCUAAUACCGGAUACGAGCUGCGAAGGCAUCUUCAGCAGCUGGAAAGAAUUUCGGUCAGGGAUGAGCUCGCGGCCUAUCGGCUUGUUGGUGAGGUAACGGCUCACCAAGGCGUCGACGGGUAGCCGGCCUGAGAGGGUGACCGGCCACACUGGGACUGAGACACUGGCCAGACUCGUACGGGAGGAAGCAGUGGGGAAUAUUGCAAAAUGGGCGAAAGCCUGAUGCGGCAACGCCGCGUAAGGGACGACGGCCUUCGGGUUGUAAACGUCUUUUAGCAGGAAAGAAGCGAAAGUGACGGUACCUGCAGAAAAAGCGCCGGCUAACUACGUGCCAGCAGCCGCCGUAA